UACGUAGGGACCAAGCGUUGUUCGGAUUUACUGGGCGUAAAGGGCGCGUAGGCGGCGUGGUAAGUCAGCUGUGAAAUCUCCGAGCUUAACUCGGAACGGUCAGUUGAUACUGUCAGGCUAGAGUGCAGAAAGGGCAAUCGGAAUUCUUGGUGUAGCGGUGAAAUGCGUAGAUAUCAAGAGGAACACCUGAGGCGAAGGCGGGUUGCUAGGCUGACACUGACGCUGAGGCGCGAAAGCCAGGGGAGCAAACGGG
rnacentral:rRNA from 1 species